UACGGGGGGGCAAGCGUUGUUCGGAAUUACUGGGCGUAAAGGGCUCGUAGGCGGCCAACUAAGUCGGACGUGAAAUCCCCAGGCUCAACCUGGGAACUGCGUCCGAUACUGGAUGGCUUGAAUCCGGGAGAGGGAUGCAGAAUUCCAGGUGUAGCGGUGAAAUGCGUAGAUAUCUGGAGGAAUACCGGUGGCGAAGGCGGCAUCCUGGACCGGCAUUGACGCUGAGGAGCGUAAAGCCAGGGGAGCAAACGGG
rnacentral:rRNA from 1 species